rnacentral:rRNA from 1 species
AUGGAGGAGAGGCUGAAACUGAGCCGCGAUAGCACGGCGGAGGAAGUGGAUGCUACGCAGUACCGAUGCCUUGUGGGGAGCCUUUGCUACCUCGCCCACACACGGCCGGACUUGGCAUUCUCCGUCGGCUAUGUCAGUCGGUUCAUGGAGCGACCGACGUCGGAGAACCAGCAGGCAGUGAAGAGGAUCGUCCGCUACGUGGCAGGGACCCUCGACCACGGCCUCCACUACCCUAGGUGUCUGGGGGCGGCACACUUCGUCGGGUACAGCGACAGCGACCACGCCGGCGACAUCGACACCAGCAAGAGCACGAGCAGGAUCCUCUUCUUCCUCGGCAAGUGUCUCGUGAGCUAG